AAUUGGCGCGGACUCUAACAGUGUAAACCACAUUUCCAAAUCAGUUAUAUUGACCGAUUUCUGAAUUUCUGGACUCAUUUUGAGGCGAAAAUGUGUUUUCUGUAAGCGGAGGACUGCAUCUCUCGUUUCUUAUCAGUGAGUUUUGCCGUUAAGAAGUUUCUAGCUAAGGCUGUUUCAUCAGAAUAUCAGAGUUUUUGGUCCAUCUCCGAAGAAGAUCCUUCAAGAUGGUUGUGCCGUUUGACACAUUCAUGUCCGAUGAACAAAUUGCAGAGGAUUACAGGCGAUUUGACAAGUUGAUAGGCGAUCUGUGUGAUGUGCUUUUCCAUGUUUUAACAUCUGGACGAGCAUCCUCUCCCGGAAGACCGAACGAAUCCAACAACGGCCCUAAUUUUCAUGCAAGAGCCGUUACUCGUAGAUCUCGAAGAAUGAGUAUGGAUGAUCGGCAGUCGGAUAGAACCGGCCUGAAUGAAAUGUGUCCUGAUUUAAUUUCAAACAUAUACAGGCACCCAAAACGAAAUUCUCAACGAGUCUCGCUGCAAAUUUCUAGGAGAUGAUGCUGUAAAUCGGGUUAGCCAGCGCCACUGCCAGCAUAUUUCUUAUAGCAUUUACGCUCAGAGAUCGAACUUCUCUAAUCGAAUGUAUCAAAGGCUUCGACCAGCCGUCCAUUAAUUAUGAAGGAUGAAUGCAUGAUGCAUUGCAUUGAAUUAAGGCUCCUGCAGAGUCUCCUUGUUGAGUAGUAGUUGCUCGGUGGGAAAUUCUACUCAUCAACCAAUCAACUCUUCAAGAUGAAGAAUUAGAAAUUCAUCUUCGAGCGCUGUCGAAGCAGUUCUAUCUCUUAUCUCUGAGAAUUUGGUUUUCCCAAGGAUGAAAAAAAAGAAAAGAAAUGCAACCCAGAAUGUGCUUGAGAGAUGCACAGGUACACUCAUAUUAAUUUGCUCUUUUACAAGAUAAAAAAAUUAUGAAGAGAGAUAUUGUGGAUGUUUUUUAAGUGUGUCAUUUCGAUUUAUGCGACAGUGAUUUUUGCUCCUUUUUCUAAAAAAAUAUGACGUCAAAGACGUCAUGAUAAUAAACCAGCUAUGUCAACAGAACAUUCACCUUAUCAUAGAACUUCAAGUUCGAACACACUUUACCUCUCACCUAUGAUUAUGAGAGCGAACUUAUGGUUCUUCUCUGUUUCUCAAAGUUAUGCCAGUGAUAACUGGCAAAAUGUUUGCUUCUUUUUCGAUUUUAUUUGUAAUACCUUCUCAAGUCUUUGAUAUUUUAACUAUUAGGUAUGCUUAAUCUGUCACGCCAAGGACAUUACCAUGGCUGAAGAUAUCAAACAAAUCCUUUCAAACGCUGUAUCUUGCUGUUUUCUAUAGUUGCGACACCGAAGAAAGCUCGAAGCAGUGUUCAUUACGCGAAGCAUGUUUACCUAAUUCUUGUAAAAUUAUCAAUCAGAGGAGUAUGUCUAUUUUUUAGCUUAAGUUUGUAAAUACAAUAAACGAAAUCUCAGUUAUUUUAAUUUGA
rnacentral:lncRNA from 1 species